ACGGGAUGCUUAGGCAUCUAGUGGCGGACGGGUGAGUAACGCGUGAGAAUCUGGCUCCAGGUCGGGGAUAACAGUUGGAAACGACUGCUAAUACCGGAUGUGCCGAAAGGUGAAAGAUUUAUUGCCUGGAGAUGAGCUCGCGUCUGAUUAGCUAGUUGGUGGUGUAAGGGACCACCAAGGCAUCGAUCAGUAGCUGGUCUGAGAGGAUGAUCAGCCACACUGGGACUGAGACACGGCCCAGACUCCUACGGGAGGCAGCAGUGGGGAAUUUUCCGCAAUGGGCGAAAGCCUGACGGAGCAAUACCGCGUGAGGGAGGAAGGCUCUUGGGUCGUAAACCUCUUUUCUCAAGGAAGAAGAAAGUGACGGUACUUGAGGAAUAAGCAUCGGCUAACUCCGUGCCAGCAGCCGCGGUAAUACGGAGGAUGCAAGCGUUAUCCGGAAUGAUUGGGCGUAAAGGGUCUGCAGGUGGAACUGAAAGUCUGCUGUUAAAGAGCUUGGCUUAACCAAAUAAAAGCGGUGGAAACUACAGAACUAGAGUGUGGUAGGGGCAAAAGGAAUUCCUGGUGUAGCGGUGAAAUGCGUAGAUAUCAGGAAGAACACCGGUGGCGAAAGCGUUUUGCUAGACCAUAACUGACACUGAGGGACGAAAGCUAGGGGAGCGAAUGGGAUUAGAUACCCCAGUAGUCCUAGCCGUAAACGAUGGAUACUAGGCGUGGCUUGUAUCGACCCGAGCCGUGCCGGAGCUAACGCGUUAAGUAUCCCGCCUGGGGAGUACGCACGCAAGUGUGAAACUCAAAGGAAUUGACGGGGGUCCGCACAAGCGGUGGAGUAUGUGGUUUAAUUCGAUGCAACGCGAAGAACCUUACCAAGACUUGACAUCCUGCGAAUCCCGGUGAAAGCA
rnacentral:rRNA from 1 species